CUUAUCAGUAAUGCCAAGAUUUUGUGGCAUCAUCUGGCCAUGUCAUUAGAAAACGGCUGAAACCCUAUUCUUUUCUUUUCUUUUUUUCCCUUCUUUUAGCAAAAUUCAGCAUAACGAGCUACACUAGGCACUGUGGAUAACGCCAUUCUGUGCAUUAAUUCUGAACUGCAUAAGGUCUGGAGUAUCUUCCUGUAUAUAUCUUCAAAUAAGGUUGACUAAAAGUGCAGAAACCUAUGGCUGAAGCAAGGAUCUGUCAUUGAUACAAGAGAGCAAUGGCACCUGGGGAUGUGCUGGUAAGAAUUUCUAAUGAAGUCAAUUACGAAACCACAGGCAGUGGAGACAGGAAACAGGACUCACGCUGCCAUCUGAUGCCUGAGUGAAGUGGGCCGAUAGAAUGAACACCUGGGGAUGGAGCAGCAUGCAUGUCACUUGAGGUAAUCCGGAUACCCAGAAUCAAACAAAACAGGC
rnacentral:lncRNA from 1 species